rnacentral:lncRNA from 1 species
CAAUUGGCACCUUCCUCUGGUGAGGAGGCCAUGAUAUUGUGUAGUGAGCUGCCCAGCCAGGAGGUGAAGGAGGCUCCAAGCAGUGAACCUUUGGGGUAUAAUGAAAAUGUGAAAACAGAAAAUGAUUCUUCUUCUCAAGAACCAGUCAAUGAGGAAUCUGCUCCUGGUGCUGAAAAUGCAAAGAUUGAUGAAGCUGACACAGAACAGCAACUGCCUCCUGGGCAGCAGGUGAAGGAGGCUCCAAGCAACCCUUUGGGGAAUAAUGAAAAUGUGAAAAUGGAAAAUGAAGCUUCUGCUCAGGGACCAGUAAAUGAGGAAUCUGCUCCUCGUGCUGAAAAUGUAAAGAUUGAUGAAGCUGACACAGAACAACUGCCUCCAUCUGGUGAGGCCAUGGUAGACAUAUCUAGCGAGCUACUCAGCCAUGACGAAAAGGUGGCUCCAAGCACAGUCCCUUUAGGAAAUGAUGAAGAUGCACAUAUGGAAGAGGCUUCUGCUGCACAGAGAGAGCUAAGCACUGAAGUUGCUCAUGGUAGUGAAAAUGCGAAACUUAGUGAAGCUGGCACGUCUGGUGAGGCCAUGGUAGACGUAUCUAGCGAGCUACUCAGCCAAGAUGAAAAGGUGGCUCCAAGCACUGGCCCUCUAGGAAAUGAUGAAGAUGCACAGAUGGAAGAGGCUGCUGCUGCACAGAGAGAGCUAAGCACUGAAGUUGAUCAUGGUAGUGAAAAUGUGAAACUUGGUGAAGCUGGCACGGAGCUGCAGUUGCCACCACCUUCAUCUGGUGAGGCACUGGUAGACAUAUCUAGGGAGCAACUCAGCCAAGAGGUGCAGGAGGUUGCAAGCUCUGGGCCCUCAGGAACUGAUGAAAAUACUGAGAUGGAACGGCUAAACACCAAACAUUCACCUGGUGGUGAAACCUCAAAACU